rnacentral:rRNA from 1 species
AUGCAUGCUGUGAAAUUUGGCUACAGAUGGAAUAUAUGGGAUGGCAGCAGAACCAGGUUCUGGGAAGAUACUUGGUUUGGCACAUCCCCCCUGGCAGUCCAAUUUUUGCCUAUUUACUCUAUCUGCAAUGAGCUUAACAAAAGUGUCAAUGAAUUUUGGGACAGUCAAUGCCUAAAACUC